AAGCAGCGGCUUUUCUUUUAGCAUUUGGCCACCGACUCAACGCACUCGCGACGCGAUUAUAUCCCGUCUAAUCGAGACCUUAUCCACCACGUCCGUUCUCUCCAAGCGCUACGGUACUAUACCUAAAGAAGAGGCCUCCGAAGCCUCCCGCCGCAUUGAGGAGGAGGCAUUCUCUGGCGCCUCCACCGUGGCUUCCUCCGAGAAGGACGGGCUUGAGGUUCUCCAGCUUUACUCUAAGGAGAUCAGUAAACGGAUGUUAGAGACCGUCAAGGCUCGGGCUGGAUCGGGUGCCAAUGGUGACAAUAGUGCGACGGAGACAGCGAGCGCUGAUGUGACGCCGAAGGCGGUGGCGAAUGAAGAGGUUUCGAGCUCUGCUGAGGCUGAAGCUUGAUCUAAUUAGGGUUUUUAGCUUCAAAUUUGGUAUGCUUUUAGGGUUUUUUUAUCUUUUUAAUUUUGGUGUUUACUAU
rnacentral:lncRNA from 1 species